GUUCCUAGUCGGAUUCGUUAACCACCGCGCCACGACGGGAACUCCAAUGGGGACAGGUUUAAAGUCAACCGGCUUCCUUUAGAUUUACAGCUUUCGAAGACGGAGGAAAAUUCCAUGCAUGAACCUGCUCCAGAGCCGGGCGUCCCCUCCCUGGAUGAAGAGUGUGAGGGUGGACGAUGGCCUGAGUGGCAUCGAAAAAGAAUCCCGCUUCUCAGCCCGGCCGUCUCCUCCUUCCAUGGCUCUGUGUUUUCACACGUGUUGCUGUAAGUGACCGAUAUGUGGUGGGGAUUUGGGUCUUUUAAAUCAAUACCACUUUCGUGUGGUUUUCUGCAAUUUGCAUUUUUACUCAAUUUUCUUGUGUCCUGCUUCAGCGCCUUUCCUGAGAAUGUGUUAAGUUUCUUCAUCCAUUUCCCUCUUGGUGAAGGUUUAGGUGGUUCGUUCUGAGAAACAGUGGUUUUGGGGGAGUUAGGGGCUCCCGAGGUCUCACGCUGUCCCCUGCCAGCCUGGCACUUCCUCCCAGUCUGGGGUGGCUUUUGUUGCUGGGACUGGCUUUAACUCCGUUUACAGAGCCUUUUACAAGGAAGCAUUAAACUUUAAUGCGGUCCAGCUGGUCAAUCUUGUUCUAUUGUUGUGUGUGCUGUUUCUUUCGUGUUUCUAUCUCGAAGAUGUGCACUUUAGUUCAGCAGGAAUCAGUUGAGAAGAGGCAGUGCAACCUUGUGGGUGAACGAGCUGCAGUUUCCUAACCAUUUCUCAGCUAUUUUUACAACGCUGUUUCUGACCAGUAGUGACUGCGGGAUGUGUGCUCCCUGACCUGUUUCUCGAAAGGACCGGUUUCAUCUGCAUCACCGCCCCCUGCCCCAAGAAUGCACUGGAGCCGCUGGGAACCCACGUUCGGAAACGUCUCUGGUCCUCAGGCACCUGCCCCUUCUCUUGGUAUUUGCCAUCACAUGUGGGUAACUGCCUUUGCCUACAGAGCCUCUAUUUAUGAGGAAACUCUAGGAAGACAUUUCAAGGUUCGAUCUGGGGAAUUUGGGUCCAGAACUAAGUACCUGGUGACACAGUCAAUCCCGUGCAGUUUCAUUUAGGUCCCCUGUCUUUCAGGAACCUGCUUAGCAGGACUCCAGGCAAGGGGACAAUGAGAAGUAAACAACACUCUUCGAGAGACAGGGGAGGAGUUCCUGUCGUGGCUCAGUGGAUGACAUGGAGAUUUGGGUUCAGGGGACAUGGGGCAAGGUCAUCAGGAGGUCAGAGCAUGGGGCUGAGGCCUCCGCCCUCUAACCAUUGGGGACUGCUCUGUGCACCAGCCACGCCAGAGCUUUCUAGGGACCCGGGGUCGCCUUGCUGGCAUCACGCAGGCGUGGUCAAGGGGGCUCAUUACAAAGAGCAGAAGGCACUCCUGUGACGCAGGAGACGCAGAGGAUCCUGGGAGCUCUCUGCCAGGAACCAAGACAAAGACCAAGCACGUCUGUUUCCAUCGCGGCCCACUUGUUCCCCUGACCCCACCCACGCCUUCUGUUCCGAUGAAUCAACCAGGUGGGGCUUGUUUCCCACCUUUAUCUGCAACUCCCUGGAGUCACAGGGACCGGGCUCGGGGGCCCCUGCAGUGACCGUUGUCACUUGUCGUGUGCAGUGCAUCUGCCUGCCUGUGUUCUCGAAAGGGGAGACUCCUGGCGGCAGACAUGUGUCCUGUUUACUCCCUUCCCCGUCUCCACAGCGUUCUAGCCCAGCACCUGGUCCACAGUGGGCGUCAGUGGUUCUUUGACCAGAUCGGUGAGCGGUCCCAUCUCUCCCAGGGCAUCCGUUCACUCUGCACCUGCGGCACGAGAGGCCGCACGGGUGCCGGGCGACAAGGCCCUGAUGCUCUGGCCGUCUCGGAUCUGUCUCGGCCGAGACGACGGGACCAGCGUGUUGAACUGGUUUUUCUUCCAGAACCUGGACCUGCCUCAGAGCAGCCCGGGCUUCCUUGCCACCACAGCACGGAUGGCCCCAGGGCCCUUCUGCCACCUGUUCUGCGUGUUCCAGGGACCUCCUGGCCUCUCUUCUAGGACCUGGGGAGCAGUGGUUUAUUCAGUUUUGAAAUAGCUUCUUGCCUUUGGGAGAACAGAAGUUCUGUGGAGGCUUCUCUCUGGCUGAGGGGCAAGGGUGGGGUGUGUGCGCCCCAGCCCUGCCAGGUUCAAAUCUGCCUCUGCACUCGCUUGGGCACCUUAACUCAGUGUGUGCCUGCCUCAGUUUCUGCAUCUGUAAAAUGGGAUGAUGACAAUAUUUACCUCUUCGAAUUAUCUGAGGGUUACACAAACGCCUAGGGCGGGUUGUAAGACAUCCGGAGUGGAACCCGCAGUUAGCGUUCCUCCUAAUUGGGGGAAAAUUAAAUACAUUCACAUAUGCGUAGAGAAUGCUGGAGAAACCCAUCAGGAACCACUCAACUAGAAGUGGGAGAAUGACUCUUUUUUUCUGUUUGUUUUCUUUUUAGGGCCGCAUCUGUGGCGUAUAGAAGUUCCUGGGCUAGGGGUCAAAUCGGAGCUGUGGCUGCCGGGCUACACCACAAACACGA